GAUGAACGCUGGCGGCGUGCCUAAUACAUGCAAGUAGAACGCUGAAGGAAGGAGCUUGCUCUUUCCGGAUGAGUUGCGAACGGGUGAGUAACGCGUAGGUAACCUGCCUGGUAGCGGGGGAUAACUAUUGGAAACGAUAGCUAAUACCGCAUAACAGUAGAUGUUGCAUGAUAUCUACUUAAAAGGUGCAAUUGCACCACUACCAGAUGGACCUGCGUUGUAUUAGCUAGUUGGUGAGGUAACGGCUCACCAAGGCGACGAUACAUAGCCGACCUGAGAGGGUGAUCGGCCACACUGGGACUGAGACGCGGCCCAGACUCCUACGGGAGGCAGCAGUAGGGAAUCUUCGGCAAUAGACGGAAGUCUGACCGAGCAACGCCGCGUGAGUGAAGAAGGUUUUCGGAUCGUAAAGCUCGGUUGUAAGAGAAGAACGAGUGUGAGAGUGGAAAGUUCACACUGUGACGGUAGCUUACCAGAAAGGGACGGCUAACUACGUG
rnacentral:rRNA from 1 species